rnacentral:rRNA from 1 species
GAUGAACGCUGGCGGCGUGCCUAAUACAUGCAAGUCGAGCGAACAGACGAGGAGCUUGCUCCUCUGACGUUAGCGGCGGACGGGUGAGUAACACGUGGAUAACCUACCUAUAAGACUGGGAUAACUUCGGGAAACCGGAGCUAAUACCGGAUAAUAUAUUGAACCGCAUGGUUCAAUAGUGAGAGACGGUUUUGCUGUCACUUAUAGAUGGAUCCGCGCCGCAUUAGCUAGUUGGUAAGGUAACGGCUUACCAAGGCAACGAUGCGUAGCCGACCUGAGAGGGUGAUCGGCCACACUGGAGCUGAGACACGGUCCAGACUCCUACGGGAGGCAGCAGUAGGGAAUCUUCCGCAAUGGGCGAAAGCUUGACGGAGCAACGCCGCGUGAGUGAUGAAGGUCUUCGGAUCGUAAAACUCUGUUAUUAGGGAAGAACAAAUGUGUAAGUAACUAUGCACGUCUUGACGGUACCUAAUCAGAAAGCCACGGCUAACUACGUG